CUCUGGACACCGCCUCUCCCCGCGGGCGGCGGUGCCGGGAGGGCGGCGGUGCAGGGAGGGCCGCGGGCUCCGCCGGCGCGAACUUCAACCCCGCGCUCCGCCUUUGCGCCUUGUCCCUGGAGCGCGGCCGGCGAUAGGCGGCCAAGGCGGGCCGGUGCGCGCCUGCGCGGGAGGCGGCGCCGGGCAGUGAAGUUGGUCAAAGCGCCGGUGAUAACAUGCAUAAACUUAAAUCGUCUCAGAAGGACAAGGUCCGCCAGUUUAUGGCAUUUACCCAGGCUGGUGAAAGGACUGCUAUAUACUGCUUGAUGCAGAAUGAGUGGAAACUAGAAGUGGCAACAGACAACUACUUCCAGAAUCCAGACUUGUACUACAAAGAAUCCAUGAAAAAUUCAGUAGACAGGAAGAAAUUAGAACAACUGUAUAAUCGAUACAAAGACCCACAAGAUGAAAAUAAAAUUGGCAUUGAUGGGAUUCAACAGUUCUGUGAUGAUUUAAGCCUGGACCCAGCCAGUAUCAGUGUUCUGGUUGUAGCGUGGAAGUUCAGGGCAGCCACUCAAUGUGAAUUCAGUAAAAAGGAAUUUGUUGAUGGUAUGACGGAGUUGGGGUGUGACACCACAGAAAAACUAAAAGCGCUGUUGCCAAGACUGGAACAAGAGCUAAAGGAUCCAGCCAAGUUCAAAGAUUUUUAUCAGUUUACUUUUAACUUUGCUAAAAACCCUGGACAAAAAGGUCUAGAUCUAGAAAUGGCAAUCGCAUAUUGGAAUUUAGUCUUGUCAGGAAGGUUUAAAUUUCUAGAUCUUUGGAACAAAUUUUUGUUGGUGGUUGCAGAGAGCGAUAAGGUCUCCCCUCAGCCUCCUUUUCUCCAGGCUGAACAGCCCCAGUUCCCUCAGCUGCUCCUCAUCAGACUUGUGCUCCAGACCCCUCACCAGCUUCGUUGUCCUAUGAUGGUGGAUCCAGAAGUCCGUGAGUAAGGCAGAAGAGUGUAGGUGCAACUGUAACCAAAAAGUUGAAAGAGAAACUGGGAACAUCAUAAAAGAUCAAUUCCAAAAGAUACUUGGAAUCUUUUGUUAGACUUUGGAAAUAUGAUUGCAGAUGAUAUGUCCAACUAUGAUGAAGAAGGAGCGUGGCCUGUUCUUAUAGAUGAUUUUGUGGAAUAUGCACGACCAGUCAUCACAGGAGGAAAACGUAAAACUUCCUAACGCCAGACUUGUCAGUAUGGACUAAACAUGCUCUCUGAACUGCAUUAGGUAAUGAAGAUGUGUUGACUGAUACCUGUGCACGUUGUUGCUGGUCUCAGUGGUCGUGAUGACGUUCUGCAGACAAAACUGAAAUUCUUCCUUUCUGCCUCAAGAAAAUGAUCGCUGACACAUGGACACUGGAAGAACAAACUCAGAAGAUAGUCCAGGCUGUUUGUAGGCUACUGGCUUCAAUUAUUGUACUGGUUGUAUCAUAUAGGAUGUAGAUUUUGCAUGAUUUUAUACUUUGGAGAAGUUUAACUAGAGGCCAUUUGAUUACAAUUUUGACAGCACAGCAUGCAAUUCAGUUCAUGAUCCGAGGUGAACACCAGCAGUUACAUAAAUAAAACUGUAUUAUAUUGUACUUAUAUUAAAAAGCAGUAUUUGUGGUAUAUAAAUUAAAUCCCUAAAUAAAACUUAUGCAGUAUGUUGUAUUUUUGUAAAAGUUAGUUGUGUGGAUCUGUCCUAGUCUAGAAUUGUAAGAGAACAAAAAAACAUUUAUGCUUCCUUUUACUUGGUGCCAAAAUUUUAAAUUUAUAAAGUCCUAAAUGUAUAGAUUGAUUACAUCCAGCCCAUUGUUUUCUUCCAGUGAGGUCACCUUCCUUGUAAUUCUUCUGGAAGUGCUUGGACAUGUAGCAGUAGCAUAGCUGAAGAAGGGCUGCUGUUCUAUGCGAUGUUGCAACUGCAGCUCUUUUUAUUGACCAUUUAAAGAAGCAGACAUUAAACAACCAAAGAUGCUUUUGCAGUUCAUGUUUGAUCGCAAUUCAGUUAGUCUUCAGUUAUGUCUUUUAUUUAUUUUAAAUAAUGAACUGGUGGAAUGUAACUCGUGGUUUUAUUUGUAGCUUGAAACAUAUUGUAAAUUCUAGCCAAAUGCGACAUAGUUAUAAAUGCAAUUCCUAGCAAGUUUCACAGAAAAGAAAUGUGAAUAAGCCCAGAGACUUAACCAGUUGGCUUCCACUUGGGAAAAAUAGUUAGGGGUAAGAAGACUACAUUAAUGAUGAUAAGCAUUUGUGCCUCUGGAUGUAUUGCGCGUUCAGUAACAUUUACUUAAGGGAAAAAAAAGAGUAAAUUAAUACACUGUCAUUGAUCUUGAGGCUAAUGGACUAGCUUUCACCAAAUCUGAGUUUUUUCAGUCAUUUGUUUCUCUCCUUUCUCCAGAUAUCAAUUGUGAAGUGUACAGAGGUCAGGCUCCUCUUUCUCAACAGUGUCUUCCAAUGCAUAAGCACAGAAAGGCUUUACCAGGAACUAUUCAACAUCCUCACACAGGGCUCUCUUAAAUGCUACCUCAUCAAAAUGGGUUUGUCAUAGCUACUAUGAAAGUUUGUUAAAAAUUUGCUGAAGAGCAUGUACAACUAUGAUUAAUAUAGGUAAUCAGACCCGAAUAGAUGCAAGAAUUUUGGAUAAAAUAGUGCAUUAAGCUAUAUAAUUUAUAUCUGUUUGGAUCACAUCAGAUCAUUUAAGUAUUGCAUGACAGCAUAGUAUCUUAUUUCAUAGUCAUGAGGGUAUAAAGGCUUACCAUUUGCUCUUAAACUCUAAUAUUUAGAGUUUUGUAUAAGCAGUCAGCUUUCACGUAUGUCAGUGCGGCCUACAAGGACAAGCAUACGUGCUGCGUACAGAAGGGUUACCUUCAUUCUGGGGAUUCCAGUCCUGCAUGAUGUUUAAAAAGCAGGAGCAGAUGAGCAAAUUUCCUCUUCAUAAGAAUAUAGGAGCCAAGUUACAAAUGCCCCGUGAGUGGUUUAUAAAUAGUGGUUUUACCCCCAGCAGCAUUUGUGGACAUUGCCCCUUGCCCAGCAGCCACUAGGUGUCAGUGCCCUGGCCGCCUGCUGCCCCUCUGCAGCCUUCAGGAGUAAUAUUAAGCCAAAUUAUUCCUUCUGACUGCAUCUUUUUAGAAGGGCAUUUGUGUAUGUAAGUCUAGGUAUUCUACAGAAGACAGCAGAGGUUUAAAAAUGGUAUCAUGCUCUUUUAAAUUCAUCUGAUUUACCUAUUCUUCCUUGCCAAAACAAGCUUUUUCUCUAUUUGUCCUGUGGGCUUUGGACAAUGUGUAACAUAUCAUAACAUCAAGUGCAUUUAUCCAGCCAAAAGUGGUGGAAUGUUUGUUAUUCACACAAUCGCCACUUAAAAUAUAUAGCUAUAAUAUAACUGACCAGAAGUAGCUUAAUCUAUUGGUGUGUGUUGUAACUCAAUAGUUUUCAUAGUGCUAGAGCUUGUGAAACAUUUGCUCACACUGAGAACUCCCUCAAAUCAACCUCAUGAACCUUUCACCCUUUGAAAUAAAUAGAGCAUAAAAAAUGCGUGUGGGUUGAGGUGUUUUGCCUUGUUAAUCUGAGGAAGAAGGAAGGUGCUUAGCACAGUAUUCAGUUUCCUUAUAUGCAUGCUUAUCCACUUCUUACACUAUUUUUAACAAAGGAAGACUGGGCAAAAUACUCUCAAGGUAGGAGUUGCUCCUUAGCAGCGACCUUCCUAAGCAUAGUACGCUUUUUCUUUUCUCCUUCCUACUCCUCUACCCAUUUGAAGCCACCUAUACACGUUUUACCUCCCCACAAGUAAUAGCAUACUAAAUUGUUCACACUUGAACAAUCAUAAAAAUAAAAGGAAAUGAACUCCUUUCAAGUGAUGACUUCCUUAUGUGUUUUAAUAACUUGCUACUGUCAAUAGUUCCACUUUACAGGGUGCUCUGAUUUGCUUUUUAGUUGAGCUGGUACAGUGGAAACACGUAGGCUGAUCAAUUUAUAAUCAGAAAUGGUACAGAUGUCUUGAAGUUGUUCCGUGCAUACAGUAUUGAUUCCUAGAUAUGCUGUAUGUAUUUUUGAACUUGGUGCCAAGUUGUUUGGUUUUACGUCCUGGAGUGUUUGAAACUGAGCCACAGGAUAUGUACUUGCCAGUUCUAAAUUUAAAUGUAAUUUAUCAUGUAUGUCAUGCCAAGGAGAGCAAACCUGCACGCAUCUGCUCAUUCAGUGCACCUGGGAGAUUUGCUGCUAAGCUGUACACGUGUAAAUUUUGUGGCGAUGGAAAAAGGAAUAAAUGGACGGUCAACAUAAAGGAUUGAAGUCA